rnacentral:rRNA from 1 species
CAGUCGCCACGGUAAAACGUAGGGGGCAAGCGUUGUCCGGAAUCAUUGGGCGUAAAGAGCGUGUAGGCGGCCCGGUAAGUCCGCUGUGAAAGUCCAGGGCUCAACCCUGGAAUGCCGGUGGAAACUGUCGAGCUAGAGUCCGGAAGAGGCGAGUGGAAUUCCUGGUGUAGCGGUGAAAUGCGCAGAUAUCAGGAGGAACACCAAUGGCGAAGGCAGCUCGCUGGGACGGUACUGACGCUGAGACGCGAAAGCGUGGGGAGCAAACAGGAUUAGAUACCCCCGUAGUCCCUGUCUCUUAUAA